UCAGACCGGAAGGACUGGUGGAGUGCUUAGAAGUGAGAAUGCCGGUAUGAGUAGCGAAAGACGGGUGAGAAUCCCGUCCACCGAAUGCCUAAGGUUUCCUGAGGAAGGCUCGUCCGCUCAGGGUUAGUCAGGACCUAAGCCGAGGCCGACAGGCGUAGGCGAUGGACAACAGGUUGAUAUUCCUGUACCACCUCUUUAUCGUUUGAGCAAUGGAGGGACGCAGAAGGAUAGAAGAAGCGUGCGAUUGGUUGUGCACGUCCAAGCAGUUAGGCUGAUAAGUAGGCAAAUCCGCUUAUCGUGAAGGCUGAGCUGUGAUGGGGAAGCUCCUUAUGGAGCGAAGUCUUUGAUUCCCCGCUGCCAAGAAAAGCUUCUAGCGAGAUAAAAGGUGCCUGUACCGCAAACCGACACAGGUAGGCGAGGAGAGAAUCCUAAGGUGUGCGAGAGAACUCUGGUUAAGGAACUCGGCAAAAUGACCCCGUAACUUCGGGAGAAGGGGUGCUUUCUUAACGGAAAGCCGCAGUGAAUAGGCCCAAGCGACUGUUUAGCAAAAACACAGCUCUCUGCGAAGCCGUAAGGCGAAGUAUAGGGGGUGACACCUGCCCGGUGCUGGAAGGUUAAGGAGAGGGGUUAGCGUAAGCGAAGCUCUGAACUGAAGCCCCAGUAAACGGCGGCCGUAACUAUAACGGUCCUAAGGUAGCGAAAUUCCUUGUCGGGUAAGUUCCGACCCGCACGAAAGGUGUAACGAUUUGGGCACUGUCUCAACCAGAGACUCGGUGAAAUUAUAGUACCUGUGAAGAUGCAGGUUACCCGCGACAGGACGGAAAGACCCCGUGGAGCUUUACUGUAGCCUGAUAUUGAAUUUUGGUACAGUUUGUACAGGAUAGGCGGGAGCCUUUGAAACCGGAGCGCUAGCUUCGGUGGAGGCGCUGGUGGGAUACCGCCCUGACUGUAUUGAAAUUCUAACCUACGGGUCUUAUCGACCCGGGAGACAGUGUCAGGUGGGCAGUUUGACUGGGGCGGUCGCCUCCUAAAGUGUAACGGAGGCGCCCAAAGGUUCCCUCAGAAUGGUUGGAAAUCAUUCGUAGAGUGCAAAGGCAUAAGGGAGCUUGACUGCGAGACCUACAAGUCGAGCAGGGACGAAAGUCGGGCUUAGUGAUCCGGUGGUUCCGCAUGGAAGGGCCAUCGCUCAACGGAUAAAAGCUACCCCGGGGAUAACAGGCUUAUCUCCCCCAAGAGUCCACAUCGACGGGGAGGUUUGGCACCUCGAUGUCGGCUCAUCGCAUCCUGGGGCUGUAGUCGGUCCCAAGGGUUGGGCUGUUCGCCCAUUAAAGCGGUACGCGAGCUGGGUUCAGAACGUCGUGAGACAGUUCGGUCCCUAUCCGUCGUGGGCGUAGGAAAUUUGAGAGGAGCUGUCCUUAGUACGAGAGGACCGGGAUGGACGCACCGCUGGUGUACCAGUUGUUCUGCCAAGGGCAUAGCUGGGUAGCUAUGUGCGGAAGGGAUAAGUGCUGAAAGCAUCUAAGCAUGAAGCCCCCCUCAAGAUGAGAUUUCCCAUAGCGUAAGCUAGUAAGAUCCCUGAAAGAUGAUCAGGUUGAUAGGUUCGAGGUGGAAGCAUGGUGACAUGUGGAGCUGACGAAUACUAAUAGAUCGAGGACUUAACCAUAUAA
rnacentral:rRNA from 1 species